AAAACAAAAUCCCAGUACCUGGGAGGCUCAGGGGAUAAGAGGAGAGAGCAUCACUGAUCUUGGCUUUUCAGAACUGUUCUGGCUUGGAACUGAUGGCCUCAAGUAGUCCCUCUUAAGCUAAUAACUUAAGGGAAUUAUUUGGACCGCAGCCAGAACCCUAGGAUAGGAGGUCCCAUCUGGGGAGUCCUGAUACCUUGACUUUCAGACAAAUAUACGCCCUCCUAGGGGGGCCCUGACACUGUAAACUCUGUUUCAGGUGGGGGGGGGGUGGGCAGGUUUGGCCUCUGGGACUGUACUUCUUCUGUGAGUCCCCUGGACGUCAUGAUAUUCAUUGCCUGUGCCCCGGAAGGUGUACAAAGCAGCUUCAACUUACUGGCCACAGUUGUGCUGUGCUGAAUCCUUGCGCCUCUGCUCAGAUUUUAUUUUUCAGGCUCUGUGCUGACAGCAGAGAGCCCGACACGGGGCUCGAACUCGCGAACUGUGAGAUCAUGACCUGAACUGAAGUCUGAUGCUUAACUGCUUGAGAUACCCAGGCACCCUGAGACUGAGUUUUUAAGUUAAGAAAAGAUCUUUAGCUGAGGGAAUGGGAUCUGUCUCCAAGUUGUCACCUUGGAAGGCAGAGCACCUUAAAAUAAUAAUAACAAAAACUCCGAUUUUCUGGUCACUGAUUUAUGUGCCAGGCACCGUGCUAAGCACAUUAUAUACUGUGCUCUUUACUCAUUAAAUCCCCAGAUAACCCUCAGAGGUAAGUGCUAUCAACAUCCCCAUUACAGAUUAGAAAACAGAGGCUCAGAGAGGUGUCUGAGCACAGCGAAAAAGCGACAGAACUGAGAAAUGAACCAGGCCUGACUCUCUCCAAAGCCUACAAGCUAGCCACUUCCAGCCAUGCUGUCAUUACUCAGAUAUUUUGGGAAAUGCUUUGGGAAUGACCUCUGAGCCCAUUUUCAAGCAGCAGGAAAAACAAACAAACAAACAAAAAUCCAGUCUCCUGGUUGUACUCAUUAAGACCUGGAGAAGUUCCUCUUCAUUUGGCCUCUGGCAGAGUGGGAAGGGCAGGCGUGGCAGGAGGCCAGGGUGGGCCCAGGAGGGAGCUAGGAGACCUGUGGGCAUGCGCAGGGGCUCCGUUGGCGGGCUGGAGAGGCAGAGGUGGGUGCCCCGUCACUGAGCAACCUUCGGUAAGUCACUUCUCUCUGAACCUCAGUUUCCGUGGCGUCCCGAUGGAGUGGGGGCUGGCAUGGUGGUGAAAGAAUUCACCCAAGUCAGAACAAAGGAGAUAGAGACUUAUUGAAUACACUGCAAGAGAGCAGCGGGCAGGACAGCAAAGGAGAGACUGUCUGCCACCAGGCGGUCAGCAAUGACAAAUCCUUGGCAUUUGAGUGGAAGUCUCGUCUUCAACGGCUUCUUCCCGCUGAACGAGGGGUGUAGAGAUGUCCCUACGUAUGGAUCAACAUUGGUCGGUUGGGAAUUUAUAUGUUGGGAUUAUGAAAGGCAG